AUGAACGCUAGCGGCAGGCUUAACACAUGCAAGUCGAGGGGUAAGGCUCUUUCGGGAGUACACGACCGGCGCACGGGUGAGUAACGCGUAUGCAACCUACCUCUAACAGGGGAAUAGCCCGAAGAAAUUCGGAUUAACACCGCAUAAUAUCAUAUUAUCGCAUGGUAAUAUGAUAAAAACUCAGGUGGUUAGAGAUGGGCAUGCGUGACAUUAGAUUGUUGGUAAGGUAACGGCUUACCAAGUCUACGAUGUCUAGGGGGUCUGAGAGGAUGGUCCCCCACACUGGUACUGAGACACGGACCAGACUCCUACGGGAGGCAGCAGUGAGGAAUAUUGGGCAAUGGACGCAAGUCUGACCCAGCCAUGCCGCGUGCAGGAUGACUGCCCUAUGGGUUGUAAACUGCUUUUAUAUGGGAAGAAACCCUUCUACGUGUAGAAGGCUGACUGUACUUUACGAAUAAGCACCGGCUAACUCCGUGCCAGCAGCCGCGGUAAUACGAAGGGUGCAAGCGUUAUCCGGAUUUAUUGGGUUUAAAGGGUGCGUAGGCGGGCCUUUAAGUCAGUGGUGAAAUCCUGCAGCUUAACUGUAGAACUGCCAUUGAUACUGAAGGCCUUGAGUAUAGUUGAGGUAGGCGGAAUGUAGCAUGUAGCGGUGAAAUGCAUAGAUAUGAUACAGAACACCAAUUGCGAAGGCAGCUUACAAAACCAUUAUUGACGCUGAUGUACGAAAGCGUGGGUAGCGAACAGGAUUAGAUACCCGAGUAGUCCACGCCGUAAACGAUGAUUACUCGUUGUGUGCGAUACGCUGCACGCGACCGAGCGAAAGCAUUAAGUACUCCACCUGGGGAGUACGUUCGCAAGAAUAAAACUCAAAGGAAUUGACGGGGGCCCGCACAAGCGGUGGAGCAUGUGGUUUAAUUCGACGAUACGCGAGGAACCUUACCUGGGCUUAAAUGUAGAGUGACAACCCCCGAAAGGGGGCUUUCUUCGGACACUUUACAAGGUGCUGCAUGGUUGUCGUCAGCUCGUGCCGUGAGGUGUCGGGUUAAGUCCCAUAACGAGCGCAACCCCUACUCUUAGUUGCCAGCAUGUAAUGCUGGGGACUCUAAGGGAACUGCCUACGCAAGUAGAGAGGAAGGUGGGGAUGACGUCAAAUCAGCACGGCCCUUACGUCCAGGGCUACACACGUGCUACAAUGGCCGGUACAGAGGGCAGCCACCACGUGAGUGGGAGCGAAUCUCCAAAGCCGGUCUCAGUUCGGAUCGAAGUCUGCAACUCGACUUCGUGAAGCUGGAAUCGCUAGUAAUCGCGCAUCAGCCAUGGCGCGGUGAAUACGUUCCCGGGCCUUGUACACACCGCCCGUCAAGCCAUGGAAGCUGGGAGUACCUGAAGUCGGUAACCGUAAGGAGCCGCCUAGGGUAAAACUAGUGACUGGGGCU
rnacentral:rRNA from 1 species